UUUUAAAAAGGCAGCUAUAUUAUUCACCCAUAUAGUUAUUAACAGAGACUUAACAAAAGGGGAAUAAACCCCAGGUGAUCUCAUGUCUAAUACUCCCAGUAACAACUAAUAAUAAUAAGCACUAGCACCUCCAGCUCCAGGUCCUAUGUGCUAGUGCAGAUUGCACAUCCAAUUACACAAAUUAUUGCUGCAAUGGGGAUUACUGGAGUGUUCUAACUUUCUUUGGCGCCUUCAUCAGGUGCAGCAGCGGCAACAGCAUCCUCCUUUUCUUUUACUUCCUCCGAGCUUACCUCCCUCGGCUUCUCUUCGGUUGCUGGCGCCUUCUCUGGCUCAGCGGCAGCGGCGGUUUCAGUUGUUUCUGGUGAAGUGCUUGGGGCACCAUCUUCAACAGGGACGGUCUUCUUGACGGUACCGACCUUCACGUACUUGCCCAUAAACUUGUACUCCCAGUCCUGCAAUGCGUCGAGUUCAAAUGGGCCAAGACCAGAGAUGUCACCGGUCAAAUCCUGGGGCUCGAAGGACAUCUUAGCGAGUGCUCUGCUGGCAUCUUUGCCAGCGAAUAGCGCAUAAGGUCCACCAGGUCCAUAGAACAUCCUGCUCUGCGUGACGUCAUAGAUCUGGCCCUUGAUGGCCAUGAGGAGGGGCUUCUUGGGAUCGGACCCGUCGUACUGGCGGAGCUCCUCCUCG
rnacentral:sRNA from 1 species